UGGGGUAUCGCCAAGCGGUAAGGCACCGGUUUUGAUACCGGCAUUCCCUGGUUCGAAUCCGAGGUACCCCAGCCA
rnacentral:tRNA from 1 species